AGUUUUGAAGCAGCUGUGGCUGUGCAUGAAAGUUCAAGUUCGAGUGAUAAGAUAACUGAUAAAAGUUCAAAGUUUGAGUGAAUUAUGAAUUAUUAUUAUUAUUUGAAAUAGUGUAUGAUUUCGUGUAUUAUAAUAAUGUUUAAUUGUUGUGUACCUACAGCAGAUUUGAGGGAAAGACUUCUCUUUUAGUGUAUGUAAAUGAAGUGAGAUAUCUUGUCUCUGCAGUCAGCAAUAAAGAUUGAUAUUUGGAUCUUACUUUCCAGCAAAUGCAAAUUUCAUUCAACUUCCAGCGUUUUCUUGAGGUCGUUAAAAUGUCACCAAAAUGUAAAACUGCUGAAAAAUCGAUAUUAAGAAUGGAUGAUUAUUUUUCACCUACUGAAACUGAAAGGACUCGUCCAAAACCCGAUGGAGAAAAAGUGAAACUAAACAUAAGAAAAAAAUCAUUGAAAAAAGAAAAAAAGCUGCAGUUGAAGCCUCCAAAGCCAUCACCAUAUCGAUCAAGCUCAAAGAAGAAUACCCAUCUGAUGAAUUUAGAAAUCCGUCGUCGAAACGAAUCACGCUUUUAGAAAGGUCUUUAGAAAAUUAGAAUGACCGAGUGAAAUCAAAAGAAAGACGUUGAAUCAAAUCAGCGCAAUAUUUGCUUUGUGCCCCAGCCGAUGAUGAUUGAUUAUCGAGUCGAAGAUCUGGAUGUAUCAUUAUUGGAACCAUUUCCACAAUCACCGCCUAUGUUACUGGAUGAAUGAUUGGAGGAUGUUCGAGUCAAAUAUGUUUAUUGUAAUGAUCAAGGCUUUUCAGAAGAAUUAUUUUUUAAGAUUACCUUGAAUAAGAAGAAUGGUGGCACAGUUAUCAAGAAUCGCUAGAUCAAGAAAAAUAUAAUAUUUAUUUACGAACUAAAAUGAUGAUCAAGAAUUUAUGUAUUUUCUGUGCAAGUAAAAAAUUAUUCAAACGAUGAAUAGUUCGUGGAUUUUGUGUCAGGUUACAUUUGUUCAGAGGGAGGCUAUGAUUAUUUGCGAUAUUUUAAUUAAAAUGUUUCAUCACUGUGCAUGACUGUAUCGAAUGUAGAUAACGUACGUAUUGUUUAGAAACCUCGUUCUGGUGUUCACAUUUUUCUUCUGGGUAGCAAACUACGUUACAAAAAUUUAUAUUUUUUGUUACCUGAUUUUUUUUCUCUUGGUUCAUAUGUAGGUAUAGUUCACGAAAUAAAUACCUGCUUAAUUUGACGUAAAUUUAAUUUAAGAACAGUUAUAAUUGGUAAAAUAUCGUAUGCAAUUGUUUUUGUACUGAAUAUAUUUUUUUUAAAUCCUACUUGGAGAUAUCAGAGAAAUAAUAAAAACUUUCGAUGAAAUUUA